UAAGAAUGGGGAGCUAGACGCUGACACCUGCAGGGACCCACUGAAUUCAAUGGCCAUUUCAGUGGGGCUUCUUGCAACUUUAAUGCAAUGGGAACCCCCCAAAAAAGUGGGAGAGAAGCCCCCCAAGUUUCUGUUCUGCGCCCCCCAACCAAAAAAAAUUACUUUCCACCUAAUAUGCAACAUUUUGGUCUCUUUUUUUAGGGCAGGAAGGAAUUCAACAGGUGAUGCAUCAGUUCAACAGGUGAGGUUUCCUUCACCAUCUCGGUGCUAAGGGGGGGGGACGGCUUACCCUAGUGAAUUUCUGCCUUUCCCAUCCUAGUUGCAUAGAGUAGACCCACUGAAUUUGAGGGCCAGUCGUUUCGGUGGGGCUCGUUAGGAGUGUGAUUUAAUUGAACGGAACCCCUCCCAAAGUGAAAAAGAAGCCCAAAAUUUCUAUUCUGCACCCCCCUUCAAAAAAUAAAAGCCUUUUCACCUAAUAUACAAUAUUCCCCCCCUUUUUUUAGGGCUCCUGUGCUGUCAGAGCAGGAAGAAAUUCAACAGGUGAGGUUUUCUCCCCAAGUGGUGCUUAACCGGUGAAUUUCUGCCUUUCCCAUACUAGGUUCAAAUUUUCCUUCCUCUUAGCUUGACCAGCUCAAUAUUAGUUACAUCCAGAAUUUUCCCUGAUUCUCUUGUUGGAAACUGGCAAUUUUCCUUUAAAAAAAAAUUCUUAAAAUAAAAAUUAAAAAGCGUUUUUUCCACUCAAAAGCUGUUGAGCCAAAAAAUAACAAUUAAAAAAGCCUUUGUGUCUGGAUUUCCACGUUUUGAAAUAUGGAAGAAACCCUAAAUAUUGGCAAAACCUGCAGUUUCCAUUAGGUGUUUUAUGCCUCCUGUUAAUUAACAACACCAUUUAAUACUUGUUAUUAUUAUUAUUACCCCUAAAUGUUGCAAUAGCAGCAGAAAUACAACUCAGAAUGUGAAAGAAAGAAAGAAAAAGGCUUUCUGGGACUCUUUUUACAGUGCUAAUCAAAAGUAAUGCUCAAAAAAGACGUCUCUCUCUUACCGCAGAGAGUCAGCCCUGUGGAACUUACUUCCGAGUAGACGUGCUUAUUCUGAAUGCUCUGCCAGUGCAUAAAUUGUACGCGUUGCAAUUUAGGAAUUAUUUGGCCUUAGCAUGAUGGAAUCACUCUAAAUUAUGUAUGGAAAUGCUCCAAAACAGGAAAAUUGUCUUUUUUUUAAAUUAAAAAAAAUUAAAUUAAAAAGCUUUCGUGAUGGGACAGUGAUAUACCCCCACAUCUUGCCCAGCGACCCCCAAAUUUGCAAAAGCGUCGCCCACAAUUUGGCAGAGAAAGACGUAACAAACUCCAUUUAAAGGAUGUCCUGGCAAAAGAAUAAUGGGAACUAGUUUCUUUUUGUGUGUGUGUGUGUUUCCUUUUUUGUUGAUGCUUUAUUGACAAAUCUUAAAUAACAAAUAUAGUGCACAUCUUCUCGAAUCAGCAAAAAUAUAAACCGUGGGAACAAAACCCAUA